rnacentral:rRNA from 1 species
UACGGAGGGUGCAAGCGUUAUCCGGAUUUAUUGGGUUUAAAGGGUGCGCAGGCGGGGCUAUAAGUCAGCGGUGAAAGCCUACAGCUUAACUGUAGAAUUGCCAUUGAUACUGUAGUCCUUGAGUGUAGCUGAAGAGGGCGGAAUGUGUUGUGUAGCGGUGAAAUGCUUAGAUAUAACACAGAACACCGAUUGCGAAGGCAGCUCUCUAAACUACAACUGACGCUCAUGCACGAAAGCGUGGGGAUCAAACAGGAUUAGAUACCCUGGUAGUCCACGCCCUAAACGAUGAUUACUGGAUGUUGGCGAUACACAGUCAGCGUCUAAGCGAAAGCAUUAAGUAAUCCACCUGGGGAGUACGGUCGCAAGACUGAA